GACGAACGCUGGCGGCGUGCUUAACACAUGCAAGUCGAACGGAAAGGCCCUGCUUUUGUGGGGUGCUCGAGUGGCGAACGGGUGAGUAACACGUGAGUAACCUGCCCUUGACUUUGGGAUAACUUCAGGAAACUGGGGCUAAUACCGGAUAGGAGCUCCUGCUGCAUGGUGGGGGUUGGAAAGUUUCGGCGGUCGGGGAUGGACUCGCGGCUUAUCAGCUUGUUGGUGGGGUAGUGGCUUACCAAGGCUUUGGCGGGUAGCCGGCCUGAGAGGGUGACCGGCCACAUUGGGACUGAGGUACGGACCAGACUCCUACGGGAGGCAGCAGUGGGGAGUAUUGCACAAUGAGCGGAAGCCUGAUGCAGCGACGCCGCGUGCGGGAUGACGGCCUUCGGGUUGUAAACCGCUUUCGCCUGUGACGAAGCGUGAGUGACGGUAAUGGGUAAAGAAGCACCGGCUAACUACGUG
rnacentral:rRNA from 1 species